rnacentral:rRNA from 1 species
UACGUAGGGGGCUAGCGUUGUCCGGAUUUAUUGGGCGUAAAGAGCGUGUAGGCGGCCAGGUAGGUCCGUUGUGAAAACUCGAGGCUCAACCUCGAGACGUCGGCGGAAACCCUCUGGCUAGAGUCCGGAAGAGGAGAGUGGAAUUCCUGGUGUAGCGGUGAAAUGCGCAGAUAUCAGGAAGAACACCCGUGGCGAAGGCGGCUCUCUGGGACGGUACUGACGCUGAGACGCGAAAGCGUGGGGAGCAAACAGG